GCGGACGUGGUGGAACCGGUAGACACAAGGGACUUAAAAUCCCUCGGCCUUGGCCAUGCGGGUUCGAGUCCCGCCGUCCGUACCA
rnacentral:tRNA from 1 species